AGCUCGAGUUUCUCUUCAUUGUCGCAUAAAUCUUUCGCCUUUUACUAAAGAUUUCCGUGGAGGGAGCUUUUGCGAGUGACCUGUAUUUUUUUGGGGGCUCUGCUCACAGCAGAGCU
ensembl:snRNA U5 U5 spliceosomal RNA